rnacentral:tRNA from 1 species
UAGAUAGAUGCUCACUGGUUUGGGCGCUUAGCUGUUAACUAAGAAUUUAAAGGAUCGAGGCCUUUCUAUCUAG